AGCUCAAAUUUGAAAUCUGGCUUCGGCCCGAGUUGUAAUUUGCAGAGGAUGUUUCUGGCGCGGUGCCUUCCGAGUUCCCUGGAACGGGACGCCACAGAGGGUGAGAGCCCCGUAUGGUUGGAUACUAAGCCUGUGUGAAACUCCUUCAACGAGUCGAGUAGUUUGGGAAUGCUGCUCAAAAUGGGAGGUAAAUCUCUUCUAAAGCUAAAUAUUGGCCAGAGACCGAUAGCGCACAAGUAGAGUGAUCGAAAGAUGAAAAGCACCUUGAAAAGGGGGUUAAACAGUACGUGAAAUUGUUGAAAGGGAAGCGCUCAUGACCAGACUUGUGCUGGGCAGCUCAUCCGGGGUUCUCCCCGGUGCACUCUGCCCAGUUCAGGCCAGCAUCGAUUUUUGCUGGGGGAUAAGAACGGUAGGAACGUGGCCCUCCUUCGGGUGGGUGUUAUAGCCUACCGUACGAUACCCUGGUGGAGAUCGAGGUUCGCGCAUCUGCAAGGAUGCUGGCGUAAUGGUCAUCAGCGACCCGUCUUGAAACACGGACCAAGGAGUCGUCCAUUAGAGCGAGCGUUUGGGUGUAAAACCCGCACGCGUAAUGAAAGUGAAAUUAGGUGAGAGCUUCGGCGCAUCAUCGACCGAUCCUGAUGUUCUCGGAUGGAUUUGAGUAAGAGUUUUAACGGACGGACCCGAAAGACAGUGAACUAUGCUUGUAUAGGGUGAAGCCAGAGGAAACUCUGGUGGAGGCUCGCAGCGGUUCUGACGUGCAAAUCGAUCGUCAAAUAUGAGCAUGGGGGCGAAAGACUAAUCGAACUGUCUAGUAGCUGGUUACCGCCGAAGUUUCCCUCAGGAUAGCAGUGUUGACCUUCAGUUUUAUGAGGUAAAGCGAAUGAUUAGGGACUUGGGGGCGCUUUUUAGCCUUCAUCCAUUCUCAAACUUUAAAUAUGUAAGAAGCCCUUGUUACUUAGUUGAACGUGGGCAUUUGAAUGUAGCAACACUAGUGGGCCAUUUUUGGUAAGCAGAACUGGCGAUGCGGGAU
rnacentral:rRNA from 1 species